ensembl:snRNA U2 U2 spliceosomal RNA
AUAGCUUCUUGGCCUUUUGGCUAAGAUCAAGUGUAGUAUUUGUUCUUAUCCUUGUAGUAAAUUAAUUAGAAAGUUAAAGUUGGAAGAGUAAACUAGGCAUGUUAGGCUCUUUUAUGGGAAAAGUAAUGGCAAUAUAGCACAAUUCGAUAAAACAGUUUAGAAGCCAUUAUUGCUUACUUUGCAUUGCAUUAAGUCCCAAAGAGAAUUAAAUGAGAU